rnacentral:rRNA from 1 species
AUGAACGUCCGUGUGCGAGUGCUCGACACGACCCAUGUCCGGCCGGAGCUGCCUGGGCACGCCGCCACCAUCAACCUCUCGCCCUUCGACACCCUGUUCCUCGCGCUCCCCCCGAUCCAGCGGAUCUUCUUCUACGACGACGACGGCGCGCCGAGCGUCCCGCCGUUCCCGGCCAUCAUCCGAUCGCUGCAGGCCUCCCUCGCCGCCACGCUCUCCGUCUUCGCCCCGCUUGCCGGCAGGCUCGCGGCCUGCCCCGGUGGAGACCUCGUCGUCGACUGCUCCCCUGAUGCUCUCCGCCACGGCGUCAGGUUCGUCCAGGCGGAGUACUCCGGCGACGCGGCCGACGUGCGCCGGCUGGCGCGGGACGCCGAGCACGACACCGAGGCGUUCGUGCAGCUCGUACCGGAGCUCGAGGUGGGCAGGCUGCCGGCGCCCCUGCUCGCCGUCCAGCUCACGCGGCCGGCGUUGUCGGGGGGAGACGACCAGCGUGGCCCAGGCGCCGUGGUGGUCGGGGUCUCGAUGCACCACGCCGUUGCCGACGGGCAGUCGCUGUUUCAGUUCAUGCGCGCGUGGGCCGCCGCGUCACGGGAGGGCUCGCCGGCAGCGGCGGGGCUCGUGCCGCCCCCGACGUUUGACCGGGCAGGGAUCAUGCGGCAUCCCAAAGCAGAGGCAGCGGCGCGGAACUUCGCUCGCCUCUGCGCACCGGAUCUGCCCAUGGUGAACACGUGUUCGGAGCUGGACUGGACGCGGCAGAGCCGGAGGACCUACCUGCUCGACGCCGGCCAAAUCCAGUCGCUGAAGCGGCGCAUCGUGCAACAACGCCAAGCCGCCGGCACGGACGACGACAACCAGCCGCCACCGAGCACCUACGUGGCCGUCGCGUCGCUGCUGUGGACGUCCAUGGCCCGCGCCAAGCACCCGGAUGACGCAGACAACGCCGGCGACGACGGCGCAUACCUCCUGUUCCCCGCGGACUGCCGCUGCCGCCUGCGCCCGCCUCUGGAUCCGGGCUUCUUCGGCAACUGCGUCAAGCUCUGCUUCGCGCGCGCCACGGCGAGCAAGCUUGGGUGGCGCGACAACGACGACGACGGCGCGCUCGCGCACGCGGCGGGGGCGCUGCAGCGGGCGAUCCGCGAGCAGGUCGAGGAGAAGGACCCGCUGGGCGACGCCGACCGGUGGGCGGAGACCUACCAGGGGAUCCCGCCGGAGAGGCGCUCGCAGCAGGGGUCGUCGCACCGGUUCAUGGCGUACGAGGUGGACUUCGGGUGGGGGCAGCCGAGCCGAGCGGAGAUCGUGUCGAUGUUCAGUCCGGAGGUGGCGAUGCUCGUCGGCGGGCCGCAUGGCGCGGUGCAGGUGUCCGUGGCGCUUGGCCGGGAUCUCAUCGAUGGCUUCGAGGUUUGCUUCCGCUCGCUGCUUUCAGCAUGA